rnacentral:tRNA from 1 species
GGGGAGGUAGCUCAGUGGUAGAGUGCUUGCCUUGCAUGCAUGAGGCCCUGGGUUCGAUUCCUCAGCAUCACAU